rnacentral:rRNA from 1 species
AACGAACGCUGGCGGCAGGCCUAACACAUGCAAGUCGAGCGAAGCCUUCGGGCUUAGCGGCGGACGGGUGAGUAACGCGUGGGAACGUGCCCUUUGGUACGGAAUAGCCCCGGGAAACUGGGAGUAAUACCGUAUGUGGUCGAGAGACGAAAGAUUUAUCGCCAAAGGAUUGGCCCGCGUUGGAUUAGGUAGUUGGUGGGGGAAUGGCCUACCAAGCCGACGAUACAUAGCUGGCUUGAGAGGAUGAUCAGCCACACUGGGACGGCGACACGGCACAGGCUCCGAGUGGAGGCAGCGGUGGAGAAUCUUAGACAAUGGGGGAAACCCUGAUCUAGCCAUGCCGCGUGAUCGAUGAAGGCCUUAGGUUUGUAAAGAUCUUUCAGUGGGGAAGAUAAUGACUGUACCCACAGAAGAAGCCCCGGCUAACUCCGUGCCAGCCGCCGCAGUAAUAC